rnacentral:tRNA from 1 species
GCCCGAGUGGCGGAAUUGGUAGACGCGCUGGACUCAAAAUCCUGUGUCCUCAACAGACGUGCCGGUUCGAGCCCGGCCCCGGGCA